AAAAUUCACUGAUCUUCUGUACACAGUCAUAAUAUUAUUUCCAUUUCACUUGUUCAUUCUCUUCUCUUUUUGCAUCUCUUAGGAUGAUGUUGCGCCGUUGUAAUCAAUCCCUUUUACAUGCGUGUGUGUUUAUGGAAGUUAAAUUUGUAGACUGACUAUUGCUUUUGCGACUUUGCCUAAUUAGUUUGUACUUAGCCGAUCUCAAGUCCGGAUAAAAGGAGGGUUGCAGUAGGUGACAACAAACGUAAAAAUUUUGUUAUACCUCGUGAUAUGGAUUCUUAUGAUAUAAAUGUUGGGGCGUCCUUUACUUAUGACGCACUACAUCGGAGCCCGGGU
rnacentral:misc_RNA from 1 species